AAGGUACUCCCUCCGUCCGGAAAUACUUGUCAUCAAAAUGAAUAAAAGGGGAUGUAUCUAGAUAUAUUUUAGUUCUAAAUGCAUCCCUUUUUGUCCAUUUUGAUGACAAGUAUUUUUGGACGGAGGGAGUAACUA
rfam:Triticum aestivum genome assembly, contig: Triticum_aestivum_CS42_TGACv1_scaffold_225713_3B